rnacentral:tRNA from 1 species
CAGAAAGUAGUUUAAUAAAAAAUAUUAAUUUUGGAGAUUAAAGAUAUAGGUUUAUUUUUCUGA